GGAAGCCCCCAGCCAGUUCUCUGCAACUGCUGGAGAAGAAGGCAAGUUCAAGGCAGCCUGUUGUGGUCAGGACUCUUAGAAGAGCUUAGAACGGAGGUCUUCAGGAUGAAUGCAAGAGAGGCCAGGAGCUGAGAGUUGGCACUGUCUCAGUCCGGGAUUCUGCAGCCAAGAGAGCCUGGCCACCCGCACCCCGCCUAGGACACGUGAGUCUGUUAACCUAGGCCCAGAGGCCAGAGUGUGCAGUGAUGAGUCACCCCAACCCAACGCAACAGGAGACCCCCUCCUCCCUGCCUGCGCCUGGGCUGAGACCUGGUUGCCG
rnacentral:lncRNA from 1 species